UGGGGGAUAUUGCACAAUGGGCGAAAGCCUGAUGCAGCGACGCCGCGUGGGGGAUGAAGGCCUUCGGGUUGUAAACUUCUUUUGCCCUGAACAAGGCAUGCUAAUGGGUGUGUUGAGUGUAGGGGUUGAUUAGCGCCGGCUAACUACGUGCCAGCAGCCGCGGUAAUACGUAGGGCGCGAGCGUUGUCCGGAAUUAUUGGGCGUAAAGGGCUUGUAGGUGGCUGGUUGCGUCUGUCGUGAAAGCUCAUGGCUUAACGGUGGGUUUGCGGUGGGUACGGGCUGGCUUGAGUGCAGUAGGGGAGGCUGGAAUUCCUGGUGUAGCGGUGGAAUGCGUAGAUAUCAGGAGGAAUACCGGUGGAGAAGGCGGGUCUCUGGGCUGUUACUGACACUGAGGAGCGAAAGCAUGGGGAGCGAACAGG
rnacentral:rRNA from 1 species